GACGAGGGAUCCUAGCGUUGUUCGGAAUCAUUGGGCGUAAAGCGGAUGUAGGUGGCUUUGUAAGUCAGGUGUGAAAGCCCAGAGCUCAACUCUGGAAGUGCAUUUGAUACUGCGAAGCUUGAGUGUGGAAGAGGUAAGUAGAAUACCUGGUGUAGUGGUGAAAUACGUAGAUAUCAGGUGGAAUACCGGAGGCGAAGGCGGCUUACUGGUCCAGUACAGACGUUCAGGCACGAAAGCGUGGGGAGCAAACAGG
rnacentral:rRNA from 1 species